GAUACGCGAGAAACCUUACCAGGGCUUGACAUAUACAGGAAUGUUGUAGAGAUACAGCAGCCGCUUGCGGUCUGUAUACAGGUGCUGCAUGGCUGUCGUCAGCUCGUGCUGUGAAGUGUUGGGUUAAGUCCCGCAACGAGCGCAACCCUAUCAUCUGUUGCCAGCAUUUAAGGUGGGGACUCAGAUGAGACUGCCGGUGACAAACCGGAGGAAGGUGGGGACGACGUCAAGUCAUCAUGGCCCUUAUGUCCUGGGCUACACACGUGCUACAAUGGCCGGUACAGAGUGAAGCGAAACCGCGAGGUGAAGCAAAACGCAGAAAGCCGGUCUCAGUACGGAUUGGAGUCUGAAACUCGACUUCAUGAAGUUGGAAUCGCUAGUAAUCGCGCAUCAGCAUGGCGCGGUGAAUACGUUCCCGGGCCUU
rnacentral:rRNA from 1 species